rnacentral:rRNA from 1 species
CAGUCGCCGCGGGAAUACAGAGGGUGCGAGCGUUAAUCGGAUUUACUGGGCGUAAAGCGUGCGUAGGCGGCUUUUUAAGUCGGAUGUGAAAUCCCUGAGCUUAACUUAGGAAUUGCAUUCGAUACUGGGAAGCUAGAGUAUGGGAGAGGAUGGUAGAAUUCCAGGUGUAGCGGUGAAAUGCGUAGAGAUCUGGAGGAAUACCGAUGUCGAAGGCAGCCAUCUGGCCUAAUACUGACGCUGAGGUACGAAAGCAUGGGGAGCAAACAGGAUUAGAUACCCCUGUAGUCCCUGUCUCUUAUAC